rnacentral:rRNA from 1 species
GAUGAACGCUGGCGGCGUGCUUAAUACAUGCAAGUCGAACGCUCGAGCUAGGCUUGCUGGGUGGUUGUGUUGCGAACGGAUGAGUAACUCGUACGUAACCUGCCCUCUUCUUUGGGUUAGCUCCCUUCAACGGGUGCUAAUACUGGCUAGUCACUGAUUCUCGCAUGGUGGUUGGUGGAAAGGAUAUUUUUGGUCUGGGAUGGGCGCGCGGCCUAUCAGGUUGUUAGCUGGGUGAUAGCGUAACGAGUCUUUGACGGGUAGGAGGCGUGAGAAGGUGACCGGGCACAUUAGAACCGGGAUAGAGCCCAGACGCAGACGGGAGGCAGGAGUGGGGAAUAGUGCACAAUGGGCGAAAGGCUGAAGCAGCGACGACGCGUGAGGGAUGGAGGCUUGCGGGUUGUAAACCUCUUGCGCGCAUGGUCAAGCAGCAGAUUUGGGUUGUGGUGAGGGUAGUGGGUAAAGAAGCGCCGGCUAACUACGUG